rnacentral:tRNA from 1 species
GUCCCUGUAGCUUAAACCAAAGCAUAGUGCUGAAGACGCUAAGAUGGAUACCACCCUCCCAAGGAC